rnacentral:rRNA from 1 species
AGGAGUGGCGAACGGGUGAGUAACACGUGGGUAACCUGCCCAUCAGAAGGGGAUAACACUUGGAAACAGGUGCUAAUACCGUAUAACAAUCAAAACCGCAUGGUUUUGAUUUGAAAGGCGCUUUCGGGUGUCGCUGAUGGAUGGACCCGCGGUGCAUUAGCUAGUUGGUGAGGUAACGGCUCACCAAGGCCACGAUGCAUAGCCGACCUGAGAGGGUGAUCGGCCACAUUGGGACUGAGACACGGCCCAAACUCCUACGGGAGGCAGCAGUAGGGAAUCUUCGGCAAUGGACGAAAGUCUGACCGAGCAACGCCGCGUGAGUGAAGAAGGUUUUCGGAUCGUAAAACUCUGUUGUUAGAGAAGAACAAGGAUGAGAGUAACUGUUCAUCCCUUGACGGUAUCUAACCAGAAAGCCACGGCUAACUACGUGCCAGCAGCCGCGGUAAUACGUAGGUGGCAAGCGUUGUCCGGAUUUAUUGGGCGUAAAGCGAGCGCAGGCGGUUUCUUAAGUCUGAUGUGAAAGCCCCCGGCUCAACCGGGGAGGGUCAUUGGAAACUGGGAGACUUGAGUGCAGAAGAGGAGAGUGGAAUUCCAUGUGUAGCGGUGAAAUGCGUAGAUAUAUGGAGGAACACCAGUGGCGAAGGCGGCUCUCUGGUCUGUAACUGACGCUGAGGCUCGAAAGCGUGGGGAGCAAACAGGAUUAGAUACCCUGGUAGUCCACGCCGUAAACGAUGAGUGCUAAGUGUUGGAGGGUUUCCGCCCUUCAGUGCUGCAGCUAACGCAUUAAGCACUCCGCCUGGGGAGUACGACCGCAAGGUUGAAACUCAAAGGAAUUGACGGGGGCCCGCACAAGCGGUGGAGCAUGUGGUUUAAUUCGAAGCAACGCGAAGAACCUUACCAGGUCUUGACAUCCUUUGACCACUCUAGAGAUAGAGCUUCCCCUUCGGGGGCAAAGUGA